AGGUUUUGUGAGAUGUUCAUUGAUAGACAGGACAAUCCAGUGACCAUCUCACAAACUCACU
rnacentral:pre_miRNA from 1 species